UACGGAGGGUGCGAGCGUUGUCCGGAAUCAUUGGGCGUAAAGGGCGCGUAGGUGGCCCAGUCAGCGUGCGGUGAAAGCUCGGGGCUCAACCCCGAGUCGGCCGUGCGAACUACUGGGCUGGAGCACUGUAGAGGCAGGCGGAAUUCCGGGUGUAGCGGUGGAAUGCGUAGAGAUCCGGAAGAACACCGGUGGCGAAGGCGGCCUGCUGGGCAGUGGCUGACACUGAGGCGCGACAGCGUGGGGAGCAAACAGGG
rnacentral:rRNA from 1 species